rnacentral:piRNA from 1 species
GAUUGAACUACGAAAGACGAACGGACC